rnacentral:lncRNA from 1 species
AAAUGACCAAAAAAAAUCACACCCAGACGAUGACAGCUAUAUUGUGCGUGUCAAGGCUGUGGUUAUGACCAGAGAUGACUCCAGCGGGGGAAGGUUCCCACAGGAAGGAGGCGGGAUCAGUCGCGUCAGCGUGUGUAAGGUCAUGCGCCCUGAAGGCAAUGGACGAAGCGGCUUUCUCAUCUAUGGCGAACUACAGAAAGACAAACUGGUCGUAUUGGAAUGCUAUGUCUGAAAGGACUUGGUCUACACCAAAGCCAAUCCGACAUUUCAUCAUUGGAAGGUUGAUAACAGGAAGUUUGGACUUACUUUCUAAAGUCCUGCAGAUGCAUGAGCUCAGAGAUGAUGACGUUUUCACGACAGCUACGGACAGUUCGUCUAAUUCCUCGCAGAAGAGGGAGCCGACUACGAGGACAAUCUCCUCCCCCGCGUCUUGUGAGAACCAGAGGAUUUAUACCCUUGACCCAUACCCCAUGGACCAUUACCACCCUGACCAGCGGUUGCCUUGGUCCUACCCCCAGGUCAUCUUCCCAGAAGAUGAUGAAGAAAUUGUACGCAUCAACCCCCGAGAGAAGAUCUGGAUGACCGGUUAUACCGGCACGGCCGGUUCGCGGCAAAUACUUAGACACCACAGAAGACACAGACUCCUACGUGCGCUUCGCCAAGGGUGAAGUCCCCAAACACAAAUAUACCUAUGCCUAUGUUGAUUCUUCGGACUUCGGCUUCGGGGAGGAUCCCAAAGGUAGUGUGAUCAAGACACAGCUGCCCAGGGCCAAGUCCCGUCGGCGGAAGGAGAACUGCGAACGGUCGCGGUGUGUGUACUUAAUCACGAGAGAACCGAAGGGGCCACUGCCAAGACACGCCCGAUGCCGUGAGAACUUGCA